rnacentral:rRNA from 1 species
AAUGAACGUUGGCGGCGUGGAUUAGGCAUGCAAGUCGAGCGAGAACCCCGCAAGGGGGGACAGCGGCAAACGGGGUAGUAAUGUGUCGGAACGUGCCCAGAGGACGGGGAUAGCGGCGGGAAACUGCCGGUAAUACCCGAUGAUCUCGAGAGAGCAAAGGUGUGAUUCCGCCUUUGGAGCGGCCGACAUGGUAUUAGCUAGUUGGCGGGGUAACGGCCCACCAAGGCUGUGAUGCCUAGGGGAUGUGAGAGCAUGAUCCCCACCAUUGGGACUGAGACACUGCCCAGACACCUACGGGUGGCUGCAGUCGAGAAUCUUCGUCAAUGGGCGAAAGCCUGAACGAGCGACGCCGCGUGCGGGAUGAAGGCCUUUGGGUUGUAAACCGCUGUCGAGGGGGAUGAAGGCAUUCAGGUCCUCCUGAAUGUUUGACAGAGCCCUGGAGGAAGCACGGGCUAAGUUCGUGCCAGCCGCCGCUGUAAUAC